rnacentral:rRNA from 1 species
UGGGGAAUAUUGCACAAUGGGCGCAAGCCUGAUGCAGCCAUGCCGCGUGUAUGAAGAAGGCCUUCGGGUUGUAAAGUACUUUCAGCGAGGAGGAAGGCGUUAAGGUUAAUAACCUUGGCGAUUGACGUUACUCGCAGAAGAAGCACCGGCUAACUCCGUGCCAGCAGCCGCGGUAAUACGGAGGGUGCAAGCGUUAAUCGGAAUUACUGGGCGUAAAGCGCACGCAGGCGGUCUGUCAAGUCGGAUGUGAAAUCCCCGGGCUCAACCUGGGAACUGCAUUCGAAACUGGCAGGCUAGAGUCUUGUAGAGGGGGUAGAAUUCCAGGUGUAGCGGUGAAAUUGCGUAGAGAUCUGGAGGAAUACCGGUGGCGAAGGCGGCCCCCUGGACAAAGACUGACGCUCAGGUGCGAAAGCGUGGGAGCAAACA